UUGUCAGCAGAGGUAGCUGGCACCUUUCCCACUCUCCAGUCGGCGGUCGUUCACUCGAAACCACCAUGAAGUCGGAGCUUGACUGUGUUCGAGACUGCAUCGGCCCAGCCAGAGGCACUUGAGGAAUGGUCUAUAUGGCAGCAGACAAUUCUAGUUCGACCAGACUGUAAAUUCGGCCUGAGCCCCCACUGAUGGAACCAGGAUUGAUGCCAUCUUGGCAGC
rnacentral:lncRNA from 1 species